GACGAACGCUGGCGGCGUGCUUAACACAUGCAAGUCGAACGGAAAGGCCCUGCUUGCAGGGUACUCGAGUGGCGAACGGGUGAGUAACACGUGGGUGAUCUGCCCUGCACUUCGGGAUAAGCCUGGGAAACUGGGUCUAAUACCGGAUAGGAGCCAUCUUUAGUGUGAUGGUUGGAAAGUUUUUUUCGGUGUAGGAUGAGCUCGCGGCCUAUCAGCUUGUUGGUGGGGUAAUGGCCUACCAAGGCGGCGACGGGUAGCCGGACUGAGAGGGUGGACGGCCACAUUGGGACUGAGAUACAGCCCAGACUCCUACGGGAAGCAGCAGCGGGGGAUGUUGCUCAAUGGGAGCAAGCCUGAUGCAGCGACGCCGCGUGGGGGAUGACGGCCUUCGGGUUGUAAACUCAUUUCGCUAGGGACGAAGCUUUUUGUGACGGUACCUAGAUAAGAAGCACCGGCUAACUACGUG
rnacentral:rRNA from 1 species